rnacentral:rRNA from 1 species
AUGGACUCAAUUCUUUCUAAUGGAACUUGGGAACUAACUGAUAGACCAUAUGGUUGUAAACCUGUGGGCUGUAAGUGGGUGUUCAAAAAGAAGCUAAAGCCUGAUGGUACUAUUGAUAAGUACAAGGCGCGGCUAGUGGCCAAGGGCUACACUCAGAAAGAAGGCGAAGAUUACUUUGACACCUAUUCACCCGUUGCUAGAAUGACCACCAUUCGAGUGUUACUUUCCUUGGCUGCCUCUUAUGGUCUUAUCAUUCAUCAAAUGGAUGUAAAGACAGCUUUUCUCAAUGGAGAGUUGGAAGAGGAGAUCUAUAUGGAUCAGCCUGACGGGUUUGUGGUAAAGGGUGAAGAGAGAAAGGUGUGCAAGUUGUUAAAAUCUUUGUAUGGUCUGAAACAGGCACCUAAGCAAUGGCAUGAGAAGUUUGAAAGAACUCUGACUUCUGCAGGAUUUGUCAUUAACGAGGCUGAUAGGUGUGUUUACUAUCGCCACGGUGGGGGCAAUAGUGUCAUAUUAUGUUUGUAUGUGGACGACAUACUGAUCUUUGGUACAGAUAUUAAUGCAAUUAAUGAGGUCAAGUCUUUUCUAUCAAAGAGUUUUGACAUGAAAGAUCUGGGAGAAGCCGAUGUAAUUCUAAACAUCAAACUUGUUAAGGAUGAGAGUGGGAUUACAUUAACGCAAUCUCACUAUGUUGAGAAGGUCUUGAACCGAUUCGGUUUUAUGGAUAGCAAGCCUUCUCCAACACCUUAUGAUCCCAGCGUGACACUCAGAAAGAACAAGAAAGAAAUGAGAGAUCAAUUAAGAUACUCUCAAAUUGUCGGUUCACUCAUGUACUUAGCUAGCACUACAAGACCAGAUAUCUCUUUUGCUGUGAGCAAACUGAGUAGGUUCAUGUCCAACCCGGGUGAUGAUCAUUGGCAUGCACUAGAAAGGGUCUUGCGCUAUCUGAGAGGUACUAUGAGUUACGGAAUUACUUAUUCAGGGCAUCCUGCUGUGCUAGAAGGAUAUAGUGAUUCAAAUUGGAUCACCGAUGUUGAUGUACUCUACGCAACAAGUGGGUAUGUAUUUACUCAUGGUGGUGAUGCAGUGUCAUGGAGGUCUUGCAAGCAAACCAUAUUGACAAGGUCAACUAUGGAAGCAGAAUUAACUGCUUUGGACACAGCUACUGUUGAGGCAGAAUGGCUGCGUGAGCUCUUGAUGGACUUGCCGGUUGUUGAAAAACCUGUACCGGCUAUUCUUAUGAAUUGUGAUAACCAACCGAGCAGUCUUGAAAGAACACACCUAUAUGAGUUCUGGCUGUAA